rnacentral:rRNA from 1 species
GAUGAACGCUGGCGGCGUGCUUAACACAUGCAAGUCGAACGGUGAAGCAGGAGCUUGCUCUUGUGGAUCAGUGGCGAACGGGUGAGUAACACGUGAGCAACCUGCCCCUGACUCUGGGAUAAGCGCUGGAAACGGCGUCUAAUACUGGAUAUGUGAUGUGACCGCAUGGUCUGCAUCUGGAAAGAAUUUCGGUUGGGGAUGGGCUCGCGGCCUAUCAGCUUGUUGGUGAGGUAAUGGCUCACCAAGGCGUCGACGGGUAGCCGGCCUGAGAGGGGGCCCGGCCACACUGGGACUGAGACACGGCCCAGACUCCUACGGGAGGCAGCAGUGGGGAAUAUUGCACAAUGGGCGGAAGCCUGAUGCAGCAACGCCGCGUGAGGGAUGACGGCCUUCGGGUUGUAAACCUCUUUUAGCAGGGAAGAAGCGAAAGUGACGGUACCUGCAGAAAAAGCACCGGCUAACUACGUGCCAGCCGCCGCAGUAA